UAUGAAGGGUGCAAGCGUUACUCGGAAUUACUGGGCGUAAAGUGUGCGCAGGCGGCCGCGCAAGUCGAGUGUGAAAGCCCCGGGCUUAACUUGGGAAUUGCGCUCGAAACUACGUGGCUGGAGUGUGGCAGAGGAAGGUGGAAUUCCACGUGUAGCGGUGAAAUGCGUAGAGAUGUGGAGGAACACCAAUGGCGAAGGCAGCCUUCUGGGCCAACACUGACGCUCAUGCACGAAAGCGUGGGGAGCAAACAGG
rnacentral:rRNA from 1 species